CAAAACAUAGCUUAAAUACAAAGCAUUCAGCUUACACCUGAAACAUACCCAAUCACAAGGGUUGUUUUGA
rnacentral:tRNA from 1 species